rnacentral:rRNA from 1 species
UGCAGAAUCCCGCGAACCAUCGAGUCUUUGAACGCAAGUUGCGCCCGAGGCCACCCGGCCGAGGGCACGCCUGCCUGGGCGUCACGCUAUAACACGCUCCAAACCCCCUACGUUGGGCGCAGGACGCGGCGUCUGGCCUUCCGUGCCGCGAGGCGCGGUAGGCCGAAGAUCGGGCUGCCGGCGUAACGAGCCGGGCACAGCGCGUGGUGGGCGACCUCGCUUAUACUCGUCGCAGUGCAUCCGGCUCGCAGCUGGCAUGACGGCCUCCAAGGACCCAUUGCACGGAGCGCUAGCCGCUCCGACCGCGACCCCAGGUCAGGCGGGACUACCCGCUGAGUUUAAGCAUAUAAAUAAGCGGAGGAGAAGAAACUUACAAGGAUUCCCCUAGUAACGGCGAGCGAACCGGGAGCAGCCCAGCUUGAGAAUCGGGCGGCCGUGCCAUCCGA